AAUACCCUAUUAUUUUAAAAGAAAUUUAUUAAACCUAAUUAGUAGUAGUUAAGAUCUUGAAAAUUAAAGAAUUUGGCGGUAUUUUAGUCUAUUCAGAGGAAUCUGUCCUAUAAUUGAUGACCCACGAUUUUUGUUACCUGUUUUUUUAUAAUUUACAUAUCGUCGUAGUUUGAAUAUUUUUAGAAAAUAAUAAUAUUCAUAAAUUAUUUCUAUAAAAAAAAUCAGAUCAAGGUGUAGUUUGUAGAUAGGUUGAGAUGGAUUACAGUAAAAAUAUUUAUUAUGGAAUAAUAAUUGAAAAAUUUUUAUGAAAGUGGAUUUGAUAGUAAUUUUAUUAA
rnacentral:rRNA from 1 species